UUGCCGUGAUGACUACUUAGGACACCUUUGGAUUAAGCAAUGAAAAAACUCUAAAGCUGAGCGAC